rnacentral:tRNA from 1 species
AACUACUUAGCUAUUUGAAGUAUAUGUCUUGAAAACAUAAGAUAAUUAAUCAACCAAUUAGUAGUUU